GCGUGAGCGAUGAAGGCCUUCGGGUUGUAAAGCACUUUUGGCAGAGAAAGAAAAUGGCCUGAUUAAUACCUGAGACAAAUGACGGUACCUGCACAAUACACACCGGCUAACUAUGUGCCAGGAGCCGGGGUAAUACGUAAGGUGCGAGCGUAAAUCAGCAAUUACUGGGCGUAAAGCGUGCGCAGGCAGAUCCCAAAGAACGGUGUCAAAUCCCCGGGCUGUCCUGGGAACUAUAUUUUAACUACCGGGCUAGAGUGUGUCAGAGGGGGGUGGAAUUCCNCGUGUACCAGAGAAAUGCGUAUAGAUGCGGAAGAACACCGAUGGCGAAGGCACCCCCUGGAGAUACACGGACGCUCAUGCACGAAAGCGUGGGGAGCAAACACGAUUACAUACCCUGGUAGUCCACGCCCUAAACGAUGUCAACUAGCCUGUUGGGGGCUUCGGCUCUUGGUAGCGCAGCUAACGCGUGAAUUUGACCGCCUGGGGAGUACGGUCGCCAGAUUGAAACUCAAAGGAAUUGACGGGGACCCGCACAAGCGGUGGAUGAUGUGGAUUAAUUCGAUGCAACGCGAAAAACCUUACCUACCCUUGACAUGUCCGGAUAGCUAAAGAGAUUUGGCUGUGACUCUCAAGAGAACUCGGAACACAGGUGCUGCAUGGCUGUCGUCAGCUCGUGUCGUGAUAUGUUGGGUUAAGUCCCGCAAAGAGCGCAACCCUUGUUAUUAGUUGCUACUAAGGGGCACUCUAAUGAGACUGCCGGUGACAAACCGCAGGGAGGGGGGGAAGAUCUCAAAUCCUCAUUGCCCUUAUGGGUAGGGUUUCACACGUCAUACAAUGGUCGGGACAGAGGGUUGCCAACCCGCGAGGUGGAGCCAAUCCCAAAAACCCGAUCGUAGUCCGGAUCGCAGCUCUGCAAGUCGACUGCGUGAAGUCGGAAUCGCUAGUAAUCGCGGAUCAGCAUGUCCCGGUGAAUACGUUCCCGGGUCUUGUACACACCGCCCGUCACACCAUGGGAGCGGGUUUAACCCAGAAGUAGGUAGCCUAACCGCAAGGAGGGCGCUUACCACGGUAGGAUUCGUGACUGGGGUGAAGUCGUAACAAGGUAGCCGUAUCGGGAAGGUGCGGCUGGAUCACCUCCUUAAGCUUGGAUCCC
rnacentral:rRNA from 1 species